AUAGCGUGAAAGCUGUGGCUGAUACUUCAGAGAAUUCUAAUUUUCUUAAGGUUUCUGAAGAUGAAUUACAUAUUGUUUGUGCGUUUUACGUAAGAAGAUUGGUAGGGCUACUGAGCUUUUGCCGCCAUAUGAGGUCAUAGAAUAAUCAGACAGCAGGACAAUUGCUGCAUCACCCCUAGAGUAUGAUGUCAAGCUUGAAGAUGCGGAAUCCUUCUUUGGUCAGUUUGCCAAGAUACUUACUUGAACACUGAUGCGGAAACAAUGUCCCCUUUUGAGCAUGGGCAAGUGUUUGUUCUAGAUGAUGGUGGAGAGUGGGUCGGGUUAUUGUUUUCUUGCUAUUGCCGGAAGUUCAGACCUCUUGAGUUCUCAGUAGGAAGAUUUGGUAAUUUGAGUUGUCAAUUCUAUGAUAUACUGGAAACUGGGUCACUUUGGUGGUGUUGCAUUAUUAAUUAGUUAGUAAGGAUGUGCUAUGAAACUUGAGUUAUUUUAUGUCAUUACUCUUGAUAAUAUUGGAUCAAAGAUUUAACUUAUACGCACAAAAUUUUCCUUGUCUUUA